CUUCCUGCCACUGAUGUUCCAGUUUCUCUUUACAUCUGCUAUUACAUCAACUUUUCUCCAGGAAGACAACAGUUUCCUUUGACCAAGCUAGCUUUGCCAAGGAAUCAGAGAUUUUGUUUCCCUCCACUCCUGAAUGCCAAGUGGGGUGCUUUGAGCUCAGCCAGAGACUUUGGCCCAGCUCACAUUUCAGUGAAGUCCCUCUCCCACUCUACACCACAAAACUUCCCAGUUGAGUCAGCCGAUCAAUCAGCGGACUUUUCCCCCUUUUCUGCAAGCCACGGCGAAACAACAGUGAGAGACCUACCCCCGGCCCGAAGGCGCAGGGAAAUGACCCUCUCAUUCACCAGGGAAAACUCCAACACAUGGCAGCUGAGCUGAGGAGCUAUAAGCAAGCCAACACCAGCUCGCUGCCUC